ACGAACGCUGGCGGCAGGCCUAACACAUGCACGUCGAGCGCCCCGCAAGGGGAGCGGCGGACGGGUGAGUAACGCGUGGGAAUAUGCCCUUUGCUACGGAAUAGUCUCGGGAAACUGGGGGUAAUACCGUAUACGCCCUUUGGGGGAAAGAUUUAUCGGCGAAGGAUUAGCCCGCGUUGGAUUAGGUAGUUGGUGGGGUAAUGGCCUACCAAGCCGACGAUCCAUAGCUGGUUUGAGAGGAUGAUCAGCCACACUGGGACUGAGACACGGCCCAGACUCCUACGGGGGGCGGAAGUGGGAAAUAUUAAACAAGGGGGGGAGCCGUAGGCGUGCCGUGCGGGAGGAGGGGUGGGGGCUUUAGGUUUGAAAAGCUCUUUCAGCUGGGAAGAUAGAGGGGAACCAAGGAGAAAGACCCCGGGCAACCCCCG
rnacentral:rRNA from 1 species